GCAGCAACAAAUAUCAAUGAGCCAAUCAAGAACGCCUGAUUACAUGUUUGCCAAAUUUAAAUAGGCAUAACACUAUUAGAGCUUCUUGAGCACAGCUUUCAAAUGUGGUGUAAGAUUAUUAAGAUGGGUAGCCAUUUGAACCACAUAAGACAAUUCUCCAUUCGCAAAUUCAAACACACGACUUAUCUCUUUUACCUUAGAAGCAUUGCCCACCAGUUGACUGUGAAGCUUGACAGUUUUCUCUUGCGCAUUAUAGCUUCCUUUCUGAACUUCAACAAGACCAGUACUCUGAGAUAUCACAAGUUCGAUAGAGCCAUCAAGCUUGGGCCGCCAGUAGCCGCUUUCUGCAUGCAUAGGCUCUCCAGAGCUGAGCUUCCAUGUCUUUUGAGUAUAAGAUAUCACAGGCUUGCCAGAAAUGGCAGAGAAAUGGAGCUCUUCGCCAUAAGAGAAAGAAGCGAUGGUUGGAUAGCCACCUUCGCCUUGGCCCCUCCAUGUCCCCAGCAGGUAUGACAGCGGUGCUAUUGCCGGGUGCACCGCAGCUGCUUCCGGCGGCGUAU
rnacentral:misc_RNA from 1 species